rnacentral:rRNA from 1 species
UACGGAGGAUGCAAGCGUUAUCCGGAGUGAUUGGGCGUAAAGCGUCCGCAGGUGGCAAUGUAAGUCUGCUGUUAAAGAGUCUAGCUCAACUAGAUAAAAGCAGUGGAAACUACAUAGCUAGAGUACGUUCGGGGCAGAGGGAAUUCCUGGUGUAGCGGUGAAAUGCGUAGAGAUCAGGAAGAACACCAGUGGCGAAGGCGCUCUGCUAGGCCGUAACUGACACUGAGGGACGAAAGCUAGGGGAGCGAAUGGG